GAAUAUUGCACAAUGGGCGCAAGCCUGAUGCAGCCAUGCCGCGUGUGUGAAGAAGGCCUUCGGGUUGUAAAGCACUUUCAGUCAGGAGGAAAGGUUAGUAGUUAAUACCUGCUAGCUGUGACGUUACUGACAGAAGAAGCACCGGCUAACUCCGUGCCAGCAGCCGCGGUAAUACGGAGGGUGCGAGCGUUAAUCGGAAUUACUGGGCGUAAAGCGUACGCAGGCGGUUUGUUAAGCGAGAUGUGAAAGCCCCGGGCUCAACCUGGGAACUGCAUUUCGAACUGGCAAACUAGAGUGUGAUAGAGGGUGGUAGAAUUUCAGGUGUAGCGGUGAAAUGCGUAGAGAUCUGAAGGAAUACCGAUGGCGAAGGCAGCCACCUGGGUCAACACUGACGCUCAUGUACGAAAGCGUGGGGAGCAAACAGGAUUAGAUACCCUGGUAGUCCACGCCGUAAACGAUGUCUACUAGAAGCUCGGAGCCUCGGCUCUGUUUUUCAAAGCUAACGCAUUAAGUAGACCGCCUGGGAGUACGGC
rnacentral:rRNA from 1 species